AGGGUUGUGGCUCCGUGGUAGAGCACUUGCUUAGCAUGUGAGAGGCACUGGGUUCGAUUCUCAGCACCACAU
rnacentral:tRNA from 1 species